rnacentral:lncRNA from 1 species
GGACUCAAGGGACCCACUCUUGAUCAUAGAGUGGGUUUUCCUAAGUCAUCAAAGGUCCGAAAGCAUCACCAGGCCACAGGAGUUGAUGGCUCAGCUCAUCAGGAAAGCUAGGACAAGGCUUUGGGAGAUGUCCGGGUGUGAUUUUACAUGCAUAUGGGUACCGGUCAGUCUGUCUUGGGACAGAGCAUCCCCAAAUAAACUGACCAAAGAAAUGUUUAAUUAGCUGCUGCAGGAGAAUGAGACUCUCCAAAUUGUGUUAGAUAGCUACAGGUUUCGGUCCACGCCCCUGCUCACAAAUUCUUUAACUCAAAGUUUAACAUGGUUCCGAAAAAACCUCUCAAGGCUGUGACAGUUUUGACUGACGCAUCUGGAACUUCCCACAAGUCGGUAAUGACUUGGAUGGAUCCUAAGAUUCAGCAGUGGGAAACGGAUGUUAAACAUGUGGAAGGAUCUCCACAAGUUGUUGAGUUGGAUGCCGUUGUCAGAGCCUUUGAGAGGUUCCCCGAACCAGUUAAUUUGGUAACCGAUUCGGCCUAUGUUGCAGGGGUAAUAGCAAGGGCAGAAAAUGCAGUGUUAAAAGAAGUCCUCAGCUUUUUGAGCUGCUUUCAAAAUUGAUCUAUGCCAUUUCUCACUAAAAGCAGCCCUUCUUUGUUAUGCAUGUACGAUCACACACGGAGCUUCCUGGCCUGGUAGCCGAAGGUAAUGAGAGAGCAGAUUCCCUCGCUGCCCCUGUUAGAAUGGCUCAGCUUCCUGAUGUAUUCCAGCAAGCCAAGCUGAGUCAUCAAAUGUUCCACCAGAAUGUGCCUGGAUUGGUCCGUCAGUUCCAUCUAAGGUGAGAUCAAGCCAGAGCCAUUGUGGCCACAUGCUUACAAUGCCAGUCAUCAGCAAUACCAUCCCUGGGUUCAGGGAUUAACCCUCGAGGUCUGGGGAGUUGUGAAGUGUGGCAGAUGGAUGUCACCCACAUCCCAGAGUUUGGUAAAUUCAAGAGAAGCCAUCUUGAAAAUGAAGGCCCUGACCAUCUACUACUACUACUACUACUACUACUACUACUGGUGACCCAGAAGGCAGCAUGGAUCGUGCCCCAGCCCAAGCAGAACGUCUGGGUGACGUUGGCAAAAACCCUGCACCGUGAUGAUCUGUGUCUUUCCACUGGAGCAUCAGGAAAUCCAAUGGCUACCUGCCUGGUGGGGAUCCCUCUAAAGCCCACAGAAUUUCGUGAAGCUAUGACCUCUUUGGUUAAGAAUGUUAAUCAAGGAAAGCCGGCUGAUAGCGUUGCCUGAUCCCUCCCUGCCUACAAAGUAAGGAGACCUGUUAUGAACCCUCUCCUUCUCUGGAGAGACUGGCAGGAGAAAUUAGAGAAGGCAACCGAUGAGCCACAAGAAUUUGAUUUGCUUGAUUCGUCUCCCGCAUCCUUUUGUGUUCAUUUUAAUUACCACUCCUCUGACCCUAUUGUCAAGUGAUACAAGUUAAUAAGCAGUUUCAGGUUGCACAGUGGUGCCAGAACAUCGCCCACGUGAAAAUGGCCUCUACCCUUGAUUCUACACCCUGAAAGCUGGAAAAAGGUUUAUUUUUAAUUUGUGGAGACUAGGCAUAGGCAGGCAUCCCCUCUCGUCUCCUAGGAGGGCCGUGCACUUUGGGCCAGUUGUCCCUGUUCUCACCCAACGCGACUCAAAUUGACAAUUGGGCCACAAAAAAUAAUCUGGCUAUCAAAAAGCGCAGUCUUGACGAUCUGGACCAGACUGCGACUCUGAAAUUUUUCAUUGGAGUAAACUAAAUCAAGCUGCAGUAUCGUUGUUUUUGCCCUGGGUGGCCGCUGCCAAAGCUGUGGGAGAAUUAGGCCGAUUUGAGUGUUGGGUAGUGAAACAGGCAAAUUUAACGUCAACUGCGCUAAGCGACCUCCAGGAAGACGAGGAGAUUACCAGGCGAGCCACACUGCAAAAUCGUGCAGCCAUCGAUUUCUUGUUGCUCCUGCACAACCACGAGUGCAGGGAGUUUGAAGGGUUAUGUUUCCUAAACCUGUCUUCCAAAAGCCCCAACGUCCACCAAACCAUCAAUGAAAUGAGAGGCAUGAUCUACCAGAUCAAGCAAGAGUCAGAAGACUGGGUCACCAACAUUUUCUCUGGCUGGAGGAUAUCAGGAUGGCUCUCUUCAAUUAUAAAAUCAAUCUUAUGGAUUGUUUUCAUCAUUUUAUGAUAUUAAUUAUGUUUGCUAUAUUACAAAGAUGUUUAGUUCAAUCAGUUUCCAAUCUUUUGUCCACCCCGCCACAAGUUAACCAUGUUGAUUUAAAUCCUCCUUCCUCCUCCUUGGCUCCUCCCUCACCCACUUGUGAAGGAUGGUUUUUAAAGGAGACUGUGCCCUCUGCUCCCCCUGACCCUACACCCUGUUCCUCCUCUUUCUGAAAAAGAAAGGGGAGAUGUUGCGGUUCGUUUAUUUAAUUUUAUUAAGAAUAUGUUAAAGUUUGUUGGCACAUUCUUGUUUCCCCCCAUUGUUGUGUAAUGGUUUAGCCCUAGUUGUCAAUAUUGUUAACCCCUCCCCUUUUUCCUGAAAGUUCCCCGUCAAUUGUCUUCACCCUGCCCCAUCUCGCCAUCCAUCAUUGUAAACCCCACCUCUCCUUCCAGCUCCUUCUGUGUAUUUCAUCCCUUCCUCGAAGAGUCAUUGGUUACUAUGUUAUUGUCCCGCCCUCUUUGUAUCCCCAUUGGUCUCCAAUAUUGUAAGCUCCUCCCCUCCUCCCUCCGCAAACCCUGAUUGGGCCCUGACCACAGAAGUGCUUGGGGCUCUCUCCCCUGUUCUGUAGUCCCAGCCCAGACCCUUGUCUUCAUCCCUUUGCCCUAAUAAACUUGUUCCUGGGAAGUACA